rnacentral:rRNA from 1 species
AUUGAACGCUGGCGGCAGGCUUAACACAUGCAAGUCGAGCGGAGAUGAGGUGCUUGCACCUUAUCUUAGCGGCGGACGGGUGAGUAAUGCUUAGGAAUCUGCCUAUUAGAGGGGGACAACAUUCCGAAAGGAACGCUAAUACCGCAUACGUCCUACGGGAGAAAGUGGGGGAUCUUCGGACCUCACGCUAAUAGAUGAGCCUAGGUCGGAUAGCUAGUUGGUGAGGUAACGGCUCACCAAGGCGACGAUCCGUAGCUGGUCUGAGAGGAUGAUCAGCAACACUGGAACUGAGACACGGUCCAGACUCCUACGGGAGGCAGCAGUGGGGAAUAUUGGACAAUGGGCGAAAGCCUGAUCCAGCCAUGCCGCGUGUGUGAAGAAGGUCUUCGGAUUGUAAAGCACUUUAAGUUGGGAGGAAGGGUUGUAAGCUAAUAUCUUGCAGCUUUGACGUUACCAACAGAAUAAGCACCGGCUAACUCUGUGCCAGCCGCCGCGGUAACAC